UAAUACGUAGGAGGCGAGCGUUAUCCGGAUUUACUGGGCGUAAAGAGGACGCAGGCGGCUUUUCAAGUCGGAUGUAAAAUCUCCCGGCUCAACUGGGAGGGACCAUCCGAUACUGUUGGGCUAGAGGGCAGCAGAGGGAGGUGGAAUUCCCGGUGUAGUGGUGAAAUGCGUAGAUAUCGGGAGGAACACCAGUGGCGAAGGCGGCCUCCUGGGCUGUCUCUGACGCUGAGGUCCGAAAGCGUGGGGAGCAAACAGGAUUAGAUACCCUGGUAGUCCACGCCCUAAACGAUGGACACUAGGUAUGGGGAGUAUCGACCCUCUCCGUGCCGAAGCUAACGCUUUAAGUGUCCCGCCUGGGAACUGCGGCCGCAAGGCUA
rnacentral:rRNA from 1 species